CCUACGGGUGGCAGCAGUGAGGAAUAUUUGUCAAUGGGCGCGAGCCUGAACCAGCCAAGUAGCGUGAAGGAUGACUGCCCUACGGGUUGUAAACUUCUUUUAUAAAGGAAUAAAGUGAUGCACUUGUGCCUUUUUGUAUGUACUUUAUGAAUAAGGAUCGGCUAACUCCGUUCCAUCAGCCGCGUUAAUACGGAGGAUCCGAGCGUUAUCCGGAUUUAUUGGGUUUAAAGGGAGCGUAGAUGGGUUGUUAAGUCAGUUGUGAGAGUUUGCGGCUCAACCGUAAAAUUGCAAUUGAUACUGGCAGACGUGAGUACAGUUGAGGUAGGCGGAAUUCGUGGUGUAGCGGUGAAAUGCUUAGAUAUCACGAAGAACUCCGAUUGCGAAGGCAGCUUACUAAACUGCCACUGACAUUGAGGCUCGAAAGUGUGGGUAUCAAACAGGAUUAGAUACCCCAGUAGUC
rnacentral:rRNA from 1 species